UACAGAGGGUGCGAGCGUUUGUCCGGAAUCACUGGGCGUAAAGGGCGCGUAGGUGGCGGCCCAAGUCCAUGGUGAAAGCUCGAUGCUCAACAUCGAGUCGGCCACGGAUACUGGGGUUGCUCGAGCACUGUAGGGGCAGAUGGAAUUCCACGUGUAGCGGUGAAAUGCGUAGAGAAUGUGGAGGAACACCUGUGGCGAAGGCGCCUUGCUGGCCGAAUUUCUGACGCUGAGGCGCGAAAAGCGUGGGGGAGGCAAACAGGGA
rnacentral:rRNA from 1 species